rnacentral:rRNA from 1 species
CGAAGAUGGCGACCGGCGCACGGGUGAGUAACACGUAUCCAACCUGCCGAUAACUCGGGGAUAGCCUUUCGAAAGAAAGAUUAAUACCCGAUGGCAUAAUUAGACCGCAUGGUCUUAUUAUUAAAGAAUUUCGGUUAUCGAUGGGGAUGCGUUCCAUUAGGCAGUUGGUGAGGUAACGGCUCACCAAACCUUCGAUGGAUAGGGGUUCUGAGAGGAAGGUCCCCCACAUUGGAACUGAGACACGGUCCAA